rnacentral:rRNA from 1 species
AACGAACGCUGGCGGCAUGCCUAACACAUGCAAGUCGAACGAGACCUUCGGGUCUAGUGGCGCACGGGUUCGUAACGCGUGGGAACCUGCCCUUAGGUUCGGAAUAACUCUCCGAAAGGGGUGCUAAUACCGGAUAAUGUCUUCGGACCAAAGAUUUAUCGCCUUUGGAUGGGCCCGCGUUGGAUUAGCUAGUUGGUAGGGUAAAAGCCUACCAAGGCGACGAUCCAUAGCUGGUCUGAGAGGAUGAUCAGCCACACUGGGACUGAGACACGGCCCAGACUCCUACGGGAGGCAGCAGUGGGGAAUAUUGGAAAAUGGGCGAAAGCCUGAUCCAGCAAUGCCGCGUGAGUGAUGAAGGCCUUAGGGUUGUAAAGCUCUUUUACCCGGGAUGAUAAUGACAGUACCGGGAGAAUAAGCUCCGGCUAACUCCGUG